AGGGCUGCGCACUGUUCCUCUUCCAUUGCGCCCUCAACCGAAGCGUCCGACGAGUGGCGAUGAGAAAGUUCAAGUCUAGCCAACUGUUCGACCGUUGUGUCCCGAUGCAAUGGCGGCGGAACAGCAACACCGAAGAACGCGGCAGUUCCUCUACGGUGAACUCCGACAGCCGCGUGAUCGCCACCAUCUUUGGCAAACGCGGAAGCCUGUCUUUCGCCUACGGGGAAGCUGCGGUGCACGACCCUAUGGCGGGAAAGUUCACCAGCACUAUAAACAGCAACCUAGCAAA
rnacentral:lncRNA from 1 species